GGGGAUCGAACCCUGUACCUCCCGCAUGCAAAGCGGGCGCUCUACCAUUUGAGCUACAUCCCCAAUUUGCUAAAUAAAUUAAUCAUAUUCUUAUUUCAUGUAUAGAUGAAACAAAUGGCAGCGCUCGCUUUGCAUGCGAGAGCCACGGUUAUUUGGAAGUUGGAAUAUUAAGAUGGUGGGUUUUCUUAAAGUUUUAAUGUCCUUUUUAUAAUAAAUUGGGGAUGUAGCUCAAAUGGUAGAGCGCCCGCUUUGCAUGCGGGAGGUACAGGGUUCGAUCCCCUGCAUCUCCAUUG
rnacentral:tRNA from 1 species